rnacentral:lncRNA from 1 species
AUGGCUGAUAAGAACUACAGCAUCCCAUUGGGAGAUGCUCCACCUAGAAGGAGGAGCCAAACAUUCCUACCCAGAUAUAAUCUGGAGAUUCUGGAACACCAGCACAGCUUCUCCACUGGAUUUCCCAGAAGAACAGCAGCUGCAUCUUCUUCCACAGGAUUUUCAGAGGAAGACUACAGCCUUUUCUACAGGAUCUCUGCUCCAGCAGAACCCCACCUGACACCCAAGGAGGACUGCAGCCACAUUUCCAAUUGGACUGCUGCCAACACCCUGACCAACAGAGUGUCAGUCCCGACACAGCUUGUCACUGAUUGGCCAAUGAAUGAAAACAACUCACCAGAAUCCAAUGAAACGAUCACCUCUGGGUACACGAUCUCCAAACACAUUCCACAUGUGAACACAACACAGGAGAAGCAAAUGAGAUAAGAAUUGUUUCCCUUUCCUCUGAGGCUUCUCAGCUUCCCAGGAGAAAAAUCCUGGGCGAAGGGAUUUUUCCAGAGAAUGUGAAUGCAUGGCCUAGCAGUGCUGCUGAAAAAAAAGGACCUGGGGGCUCUGCCGGUGUGAAAAAUGUGUAUUUAAGGUUGGCUUUUCGCAAAUAUUCAAAUGAAUAUUACAUUAGAAAUUAGUGUUAUGUUAGAAAGUUAUGCUGUAUUAAUUUUCUUAAGUAAUGUGUUAAAUAUAGUUUUAGGUUAUAGCAUAAUGUUAAAAUAGAAAUUAUGCUAUGUAAGAUAUUUUUUUAAAGAAAGGACUCGCACUGAGAUAGCAGCCACAGGACACCUAAAUCUUUCAGAGAAAGAGAAUUUAUUGCCCCCUUAUCAGAAGAAACAAAUUUCUUCCCACGUCACUCAGCCCUGAAGACACUGUCAGGAUUAAGAGGAAGAAGCUGACACUGACCAGACAGAAUCCUGUGUUUGAAUGGAAAAUCCUGUCUUUGAAUGGAAUUUAUGCAUCAUGUAUGAGGUGCAUGAAUAUGCAACAGACUGUUGUUUUUAAGGGUCAAUCCUCUGUGAACAUGUGUCCUUUUUCGGGCUUAUAUUGCCCAGAAAAAGGUACCUGGAUAUCCGUAACCCUUUGUUUCUAUUGUCUCAUAUUGUCCUAAUCCAAAUUGUCCAAAUUAUUAUUACUCUGAUUAUAUUACUAUUUUUA